GGGGCAGACGGGAUGGUCGCGGCGACACGCGUUUGUCGCUGAGGAAAGUCCGCUCUCUAUAGGGCAUGGUGCCAGCUAACGGCUGGGCAGGGCAACCUGACGGAAAGCGCAACAGAGAGUAUAGCGCCAUCACAAGUGUGCAUGGUAAGGGUGAAACGGUGGUGUAAGAGACCACCAGCAUCGUUAGCAAUAACGGUGGCUAGGCAAGCCCCACCAAGAGCAAGGCAAAAUAGAUGAAUUGGGACUGCCCGUCCCGCAAAAAACAUCGGGUAUGCCGCACGAUGCGGUCAGCGAUGACCGUACCAGAUAGAUGACCAUCACAUCCUUCGGGAUUGUACAGAAAGCGGCUUAGAAGUCUGCCCCAUCG
rnacentral:RNase_P_RNA from 1 species